UACGAAGGGGGCUAGCGUUGUUCGGAAUUACUGGGCGUAAAGCGCACGUAGGCGGACUUUUAAGUCAGGGGUGAAAUCCCGGGGCUCAACCUCGGAACUGCCUUUGAUACUGGAAGUCUUGAGUAUGGAAGAGGUAAGUGGAAUUGCGAGUGUAGAGGUGAAAUUCGUAGAUAUUCGCAGGAACACCAGUGGCGAAGGCGGCUUACUGGUCCAUUACUGACGCUGAGGAGCGAAAGCAUGGGGAGCGAACAGG
rnacentral:rRNA from 1 species